rnacentral:rRNA from 1 species
CCUACGGGUGGCAGCAGUGAGGAAUAUUGGUCAAUGGACGGAAGUCUGAACCAGCCAUGCCGCGUGCAGGAAGACGGCUCUAUGAGUUGUAAACUGCUUUUGUACAAGGGUAAACCUGAAUACGUGUAUUCCGCUGAAAGUACUGUACGAAUAAGGAUCGGCUAACUCCGUGCCAGCAGCCGCGGUAAUCCGGAGGAUUCAAGCGUUAUCCGGAUUUAUUGGGUUUAAAGGGUGCGUAGGCGGUCGGAUAAGUUAGAGGUGAAAUCCCGAGGCUCAACUUCGGAAUUGCCUCUGAUACUGUUAGGCUAGAGAGUAGUUGCGGUAGGCGGAAUGUAUGGUGUAGCGGUGAAAUGCUUAGAGAUCAUACAGAACACCGAUUGCGAAGGCAGCUUACCAAGCUACGUCUGACGUUGAGGCACGAAAGCGUGGGGAGCAAACAGGAUUAGAUACCCUUGUAGUC